UAUAUUCUAGAAAAUUCAGUGCUCAACACCGUUGACACUCAAUUUUCUUCUCACAUCUAGCAGUAUUUAUGUACUUUUUGUUUGGGUCAUAGUUUUACUAUUGGAAUACAUUUUCCUAUUUCUUAUGCAUAUGGUGUUUGGAACCAAGAGGGAAUAUAUGUUAAUAAAAACAUACUUUGAUUGACACUCAUUAUUAAAUACCAUGGUAGAGAGAAGUUUCUUAACUUUUUGGUAAAAACUGUGAUGACGGAAUAUCACACUCUCCUCCACACACACACACACACACACACACACAUAAUAUACACACCAACCUGGCGAUAAUGGUUGGUGUCUAUCAGCAUGCAUUUUUAAUAGGAGCUCUUCAUUCCAUAUUGACCCCAUAUGACGUACCAUAUAAUAAAACAACUUUCAAUGUCAUUACAAUCAGUUGUAUGCUGAAACCCAGCUUUUUUUACAAAAAUUUUAGUUUCCAGAUUUGCCUAUAAAAAUAAUAUCAUAUUUUCAAAAGAAAAGUUCUUAGAAAAGGGUGGUGGAUGCCUUUUGGAGAGCUGAUCAUGGACCCUUCUUUGCCAAUCAACCAUUUAAAGCCAACCCCAACUUACUGGGAGAAAGGCUAAGAUGAUGAUGGUGAUAAUAUACUCGUGGGCCUUUGCAUGUCCAUCUUUUAGAUUCUCUAUACAAAAUGGAGAACAAUCUCUGUAUACAAAGCUAUGUAUCAUUCCUUCCCAUUGAGGCUAUAGGAUCUAUGGGUUUGGAUUUUAUAGUACCUAAAACAGUAAUAUUAGUGGAAAUAUUUCUGAAAAUGUUUGGCCAUGUCUACAGGGGCAUCCUUGUCUGCAGAUACCUAUUCAUGGCAACAUACGGAAGCUUAAGUGAAGAUAUUGACUUUCUGAUGGCUCAAUGGUACAUGCAUGGUUUUCUUAAUGCAUGUGGAUAAUAACUAGUUUUAGAUAGAAAAAAAAAUUAAUCCAAGUUACUGUUAUGUUGCAGAGAUGCCAACUACUUGGUGGAAUUUUCAGAUACAGGUUGAACCUCCUACUCCAAUUCACCAUUGACAAACGGGAUACAAUUUUUCUCCUUCCAACAAGUACCGUUCUAUUAACGGAUCUGAGCAAACUUCCAUUCAAUACAACAGCUUGGAUUAGAGAAGCCAGACCUGGUGCCUCUCAUCCAUGUUCAAGUCUCUGAGGGAAAAGGGGGAUACAAGUCAAAGUAAAGGUUGCCUUCUUUGCAAUUGAGUGCCUAUGACUCAGUUCAUUCAUGGAUGAGGCCCACUUGACUGCAUGGUCAAAUGAUCAAGACCAGCACCCAUCUGCUUGCCUCUACCGUUGAGGAUGAUUGUACAGAAGACUCACUUGAGCUGCCUAAUUAAGCUGCAUAGUCAGAUUAUGAAGACAACAUGUCUGCUCACAUCUAUCGCUUGCUUGUCUUCUUUCAGUAAUUUGAGUAGUCCUUGAAAGACAUUCAGUGAUAAGUGGCCGAGAAGAGCAAAAAGAAAUCAUUCAUAAGGCAGGAUCACAAGAUUGAUGUAAAAUCUUUUUUCAAUGAAAGGAAUUGGGAAAUCGGUUACAACGGUUGUAAGGAAUGCUCAGUGAUGUGAAGUGUAGAUUGAGCUGUUGGACCAUACCAGGAAGUGUCAAGAAUGCAGCCCAAGUUGGAGCAGUGGAAGAACAUGUAGUGAUUUUUUUUUAUUCAAAUAAAAAUACUAGGGAGAUCACUGUCUGCAGUUGCCUAAUCAUGGCAUCAUACGGGUGCUUAAGUGAAGAUCUCAACUCUCCGAUGGCUCAAUGAGACGCCACGUACUUGGUGGAAAUUUCAAAUACAAGUCGAAUCUUGAUCUCCAAUCUCCCUAUUGAAAACCUGGCUACAAUUUUGCCCCUUCCAACAAAUACCAUUCUAUAAAUGGAUUCAGUCAAAUUUCCGUCCAAUACAACAUCUUGGAUUAGAGAAGCGGUGCCUCUCAUCCCUUUCAUGUUCAAGUCUUUGAGGGAAAGGGGGGUACUAGUCAAUG